GGCCGGCAGUUCUUGUCCAGCCGGAACGCUCCGCUUACUGCCCUCAAAGCGGUUUUUUUUCCCCCUUCCUUUACUUUGGCGGCAGAAUGUUGAUGUGUUUUGUAUUCGUCUCUAAGAAAACAAAUAACUUUUCUUCAGACGCGCCAUGCGGGGCGCUUUCCUCAUCCUCUCCCUUUGCAGCAUCGCUCCCUCGAUUUUAUCUUCCCUUAUCCGUGCUUCGCGACAAAUCGGACGUCUUUCACGCACCUGAAGUUCGGAAGCUCGCUGUGUUUUUGUGCGCGGUGCUCAGGGAGAUGCUGUGACGCAGUCCUCGAUUCCUGCCUCAUUUCUGUGCUUAAACCAGGGGCAGCCUGUUUUGCAUCUGGAUUCAGCCCCCUCAGUUAGCCAUCUCUGCAUCUCUAGUGUGCAGAAACAAGCUAAAAAAUUGCUAAAGCUAUUGACAGUCAGAAAAAUGAAUUUUCGAGCUUGGUUAAGAUGACACUGCAAAGUGAACUACUUAGGGAAGAAGUUUCAUUACAGCUUUGUGUCAGCUGUUUGGUUCUAUUGGGAUCACCGAGUGCCAUUCAAACUGACGUUAAAUAAGAAACAAAGAAGGCUGCCAAUUACCAAAACCAGGUUUCCCAUGCAGUGUUGCAUGGCAGAUUGUGUAUUUUUGUAACUGACGUGUUAAGCCUGUUGGUUCUUACAAGGAAUACAGGAACAACUUGUACUCUUUGCUACUUGCAAGUCAUUGUGUUGCUUUUAUUCAUCUUCAGCUGAAAUUAUACACUUGUUUUAAUACCAAACUUUCUGGAUUAUUGCAUAUAUUGGUAGCUUGUUCAAAGCAGUGAUGCUUUGAUGGAGGGAUUUUCCUACUCAAGAAUUAAUAACAGAUUUUGUAGAAUGUUCUUAAACAUCUCUUCCCUUGGGCCUUGUACUGCCAGCUCAGCUUUGUGAUGUAGCAUAGUGUUGCUGAAACCACAACAAGGACUUUCAGUUCUUUUCCGCAGAUAGGACUGCCUUAGUUUUGCUUUUAUUAUCAUGCAGUUAGCAAUACCAGUUGUCUCUAGCAUAUAAUUCCUAGUUUGUUAAAUUUUGCUUAACACUUGUCGCAAAUGAAACUACAGUAAUAAUGAAUGAAAAACAAAGUAUUAGCACAGUCUAGGAGAAGAUUUUGCUACAUGAAGGUUUUCAAGACUGUGGUGUGUUAUCCUGCCUUGAAUUAUCCCGUUAUCCUGUAAAUUGGCACAGAAGACUGUAUAAUCUUGAAAUACAUCUGACACUCUGUUUUUCUUUCCCUUUACCCACUGAUUGUUUUUUCCUUGUAGGGUUUCUUCAGUAUUCUGAAGCUGGUAUAAGAGGACGUUGUACCAAAGAGCCUGUUAAUUUCCAGCGAUAUUGAAAUCUCAAGAUACUUCUCUGAUUCAUUCUGCGGAGAACAGGACAGUAACCUGUAUAGCCAAUGCAACUUCUUUAUGUGGAUGUUUCUUCCAUGCAUUCUCAAUUAAAUUAUUGGAAUUUA